rnacentral:RNase_P_RNA from 1 species
GGUGAGAGGGAGCUGAUCGCGGCUUCAUAGCUGAGGAAAGUCCGGGCUCCGCAGGGCAGGGUGCCAGGUAACACCUGGGCGCGUAAGGCGACGGCACGUGCAACAGAGAGCAGACCGCCAGGGCGGCAGUCGCCCCUUGGUAAGGGUGAAACGGUGCGGUAAGAGCGCACCAGUGCUGGUGGUAACACCGGCAGCUAGGUAAACCCCACCCGGUGCAAGGUCCGAUAGGGAGAAAGAGCUUGCCCGGCUCGCUAA